GCCUGGGUGGCUCAGUGGUUAAGCGUCUGCCUUCAACGCAGGUCGUGAUCCUGGAGUCCUGGGAUCAAGUCCCACAUCAAGCU
rnacentral:tRNA from 1 species